AUAUCUCCGGAUUUUAACGCACUUUAGUUGUGAGGAAAGGCAGUAAGUUACUAACUUGCUGUUUAGACGUUACCGACAGAAUAAGCACCGGCUAAUUCUGUACCAGCAGCCGCGUUAAUACAGAGAGGUGCAAGCGUUAAUCGGAAUUACUGGGCGUUAAGCGCGCGUAGGUGGUUCGUUAAGUUGGAUGUGAAAGCACCGGGCUCAACCUGGGAACUGCAUCCAAUUCUGGCGAGCUAGAGUAUGGUAGAGGGUGGUGGAAUCUCCUGUGUCGCGGUGAAAUGCGUAGAUAUAGGAAGGAACACCAGUGGCGAAGGGCGACCCCUCUGGGCCUGAUACUGACACUAAGGUGCGAAAGCGUGGGGAGCAAACAGGAUUAGAUUCCCUUGUAGUCCACGCCGUAACCGAUGUCAAACUAGCCCGUUGGAAUCCUUUGAGAUUUUAG
rnacentral:rRNA from 1 species